GAUGAACGCUGGCGGCGUGCUUAACACAUGCAAGUCGAACGGAAACGCCCAACCUCCUUUGGGUACUCGAGUGGCGAACGGGUGAGUAACACGUGGGUGAUCUGCCCUGCACUUCGGGAUAAGCCUGGGAAACCGGGUCUAAUACCGGAUAGGACCACUUCUUGGAUGGUGCGGUGGAAAGUUUUUUCGUGGUGGGAGGAGGUCGCGGACUACAAGCUUGUUGGGGGGGGCAUGGCCUACCAAGGCGUCGACGGGUAGCCGGCCUGCGAGGGUGUACGGCCACAUUAGACCUGGACGACGGCCAGGAGUCCGGAAGGGGGCAGCAGUGGGGCAAAUUGGACACAGGGCGCAAGCCUGAUGGAGGGAGGCCGCGUGGGGGUUGAGGGCCUUCGGGUUGUAAGCACCGUUCGAUGGGGACAAAGCGUUUUUGUGACGGUACCUGGAGAAGAAGAACCGGCUAACUACGUG
rnacentral:rRNA from 1 species